AGAAAGCUGUGUUUAUGGAGGAGCGGGGCGAGCGUGCAGAAUGACUGGAAACAGAAACUGAUCGUCAGUUCAGACAGAGCGAGACUCAACUCCGCCAUAAAACUCAGACACGGGCUGAAACUGCUUCACACACGGGCUCAGCACAGACACCGUCACUGUUAAACUCUAUUGAAAGGGGUUUGGCCCUCUUUAAGACUCUUAUUCAGUCAAACUAUAAACUAAGUCAAUUCCAGUAAUGAUUCACCACAGACAGUAAACUUUAGUCUGAGGCUAAUCCAGACUCACUGCACUGAUCCGUAUCCACACACACUGAGCCUAAAGACCAGAACACUGCCCUUUUCAUUCCCAGUUUUCCCACUGUCAUUUUCACCACCCCUUCUGCCCUGAGUGGCGAACAUCUCACCAUAACCACGAUUCUCUCUGGAAUCAAAAGUAAUUAAUCUAUAGCAGUGAUUCUCAAACUUUUUAGAACAUGUACCACCAAUGAGUUUCCAAGCUAAAAUAUUUACCCACCACAUUAUUUUGAUUGUAGUUUUGGAGGAAUUUGUCUGAUGGUGGCAACAUACAGCUAGCUGAUUUUCUUAACAUAAACCAGGUCAAGAACCACAGUUACAUGGCAUCGCUCAAAGAGCCUGUUAAAGGCAUCCUUAUUUGUAUGGGUACCAUUAAAAGCAAACUGCACAAGUUGUAUUUUCAUGGAAGGUGCACAAAGAGGGAAGAAAAUAAAGAGACUCUCUGCCCCUCCAGUCUCAAGAUUGACAUUUAUCUAACUGAUAAUCAGGAUAUCUGAAAGGAGGAUAAGAGGAUCUGGAUAUUUCUAAACACUGCAUACAAACAACUCAGCACAGGCUCAAAUACAGGAGAGAGGUAAGAGAACC